GAGUUUGAUUAUGGCUCAGGACGAACGCUGGCGGCGUGCUUAACACAUGCAAGUCGAACGAAAAGACGGAAAGAGCUUGCUCUUUUCAGAAUUGAGUGGCAAACGGGUGAGUAACACGUAAACAACCUGCCUUCAGGAUGGGGACAACAGACGGAAACGACUGCUAAUACCGAAUAAGUUCCAAGAGCCGCAUGGCCCAUGGAAGAAAAGGUGGCCUCUACCUGUAAGCUAUCGCCUGAAGAGGGGUUUGCGUCUGAUUAGCUGGUUGGAGGGGUAACGGCCCACCAAGGCGACGAUCAGUAGCCGGUCUGAGAGGAUGAACGGCCACACUGGAACUGAGACACGGUCCAGACUCCUACGGGAGGCAGCAGUGGGGAAUCUUCCGCAAUGGGCGAAAGCCUGACGGAGCAACGCCGCGUGAGUGAUGACGGCCUUCGGGUUGUAAAACUCUGUGAUCCGGGACGAAAAGGCAGAGUGCGAAGAACAAACUGCAUUGACG
rnacentral:rRNA from 1 species